UUACAGGCUGCUUGUUAGAAGCACAGGGAAAGACUGGAACAUGAUAGGCAUUUGGGCGAAAAAUGAUAAGUAAAAGUAACAUGAGACGCCAUUUGAUUUAUUUUUGCACCGUAUAUGGGUGAGAGUGUCUUUAAAAGCGUGUAAUGUCCCUGGUUCCAGCAGCAAAAAAGUCCACUCGAUCAAGCACUUCUGUUCAGACCAGUGAGCUUUGCAGCCUAACAGAUGCCUCCCCACUGAAGUCCCAUCUGCCUAAAGGUGCUGAUAAUCAGUCAGACAUCCAAAGCUGCUAGGAUCUGGACACAGUCGAUGGAAAGUCUACGAAAAGCAGUAGAACAAAGGAUAAAUAUGGACCAGAGCACAAAGGAGAACACCCCUGCCAUCCUUCAGAUACGAUAUUUAUUAUGCUCUCCUGGUAGUGGUAAGCAGGGCCUUGGUUUACGGCCUCAUCCACCCUGCAGCAUCCAGGACAGUGCAACACUCCUUCAACCCUCUGUUGGACUGUCGGCCUGGAUUAUGGAUUCAUCACACAAAUGAGGUUUGAGCCCGUGAUCUUCAAAUUCAUGAGUGCCCUGCAGCCAGUGACAUCCUGACCCUGUGACCAGACAGGCAACCAAUAUUACCAUGCAACCCACACUACUGUGGAGAAUUGUGCUUGACAGGAAUUUUGGGACUCAUAACACCACUUGUAUCCUAUGUCCCUUCAAACAGUGAUUGUGGAAAUGCAGGAAUGUAACAACGCUGGUCCAAACUGACAGAAAAUUUGGAACAUGGAACACCAAUCCAACACAGCACAGAACCUAUAACAUUACAGUGCAAGAUUGUGCAGUAAUGUGCAAUGGAAUGUUCAGAAAAUACUCAAGUAAAGAGAACCACAUUCAUUUGCUCAAACAGCUAACCAAUUUAGAAACAAACCUUUCAAAGUUGGUCAACAACAGGAAGCAGUAGACCACACUGAACAUCAUCAAUUCUGGGCAGGGAAACAUUGAGAGAUGGAAUCAGUGAACCAAACUGAACAACCAAUAUCAUGGAAGACUGUGGGAGGUCCUGAUCAGGACAUUUUAAAUAACUCAUUGGAACCCUAUAAUCAUGUUUCUAAAUACUGAAGUGUUAUUUUGUUAAAAUUAUUUUCUGCAUCCUCUACAU